UAACAGUGCCUGCCUGGGUAGA
rnacentral:miRNA from 1 species